rnacentral:rRNA from 1 species
ACUCAAAGGAAUUGACGGGGGCCCGCACAAGCGGUGGAGCAUGUGGUUUAAUUCGAUGCAACGCGAAAAACCUUACCUGCUAUUGACAUGGUUGGAAGGGGAGUGAGAGCUCCCUGUGCCGAAAGGAGCCAGCACACAGGUGCUGCAUGGCUGUCGUCAGCUCGUGUCGUGAGAUGUUGGGUUAAGUCCCGUAACGAGCGCAACCCUUAUCCUUCGUUGCCAGCACGUAAAGGUGGGAACUCGAAGGAGACUGCCGGUGACAAGCCGGAGGAAGGUGGGGAUGAGGUCAAGUCAUCAUGGCCUUUAUUAGCAGGGCUACACACGUGCUACAAUGGGGUGCACAAAGGGAAGCGAAGUCGCAAGGCGGAGCGAAACUUGCAAAACACCUCGUAGUCCGGAUUGGAGUCUGCAACUCGACUCCAUGAAGUUGGAAUCGCUAGUAAUCGCGGAUCAGCAUGCCGCGGUGAAUCCGUUCCCGGGCCUUGCACACACCGCCCGU